UACGUAGGGUCCGAGCGUUGUCCGGAAUUACUGGGCGUAAAGAGCUCGUAGGUGGUUUGUCGCGUUGUUCGUGAAAACUCACAGCUCAACUGUGGGCGUGCGGGCGAUACGGGCAGACUAGAGUACUGCAGGGGAGACUGGAAUUCCUGGUGUAGCGGUGGAAUGCGCAGAUAUCAGGAGGAACACCGGUGGCGAAGGCGGUUCUCUGGGCCUUACCUGACG
rnacentral:rRNA from 1 species